UUGAAAAAUAAUGUCAACAUUUUAACCUCAAGGCUGAGGACUAACUACAGAUAUGUUCGCCAAAAAUGCUCUUAACGAACAGUUAGCCGCAGUGGCUCGCACUCGCAAACUGGAUACUAUUAUCAACAGGUUGCUCAAUAACCGAGUUACAUUACAGUUAUAGAAUUGAAAAAUCUACGCUGAGGUAUGCAAAGUACGUAAUUAGGAUCAAAUUAAGGAAUGUUGUAAUGAAGAAAUUAACAAUCAGAAGUGGAUAGAAAUUUUAAAUGAAUUUGAAAAACAUGUAAAAUUCCUAAAUUGUACCUACUGUAACAUUAGAUGGGAAGCAUAUUCCAAUGAUUCAACCACUAGAUUCCGGUAUCCAAUUAAACUUAUUAUAACUAUAU